GUAUUAGAUUUGACUAAGAAUUCAUAGAAACACACACAUCUAUAAUGGUUUUGUCGUGACGCUUCCCCUUUAAGAAAUCCGAAUGCGCGUGAUACUCUAGCGUGCAUAAUUUGAACGGUAACGGUCAGGCGAGGAAGCUGAGAAAUCGAGUGAUUAACGUUGUUUAACUUGUUAAAAGUUUAUUGAAAGACGCGUAAAAGGAAGAAAUAAUGAUACUUAUAUGAGCUGCAUCCCAAACGAACCAUUUUGGGUGAAGUAAGUAAUUAUAUCUGUUGGUGAGUUGUUGAUCUAACGUUAGUUACUGUAUCUGCUGAUUAGUACAGGAGUCUGCCAUUAACGUUACAUGGCAAAAGCUAAUUUAACAACUGAUAUUAAUGAAAUAUUAAUGUAUGCCAUUUAUAAUAAAAUGUUAUUGUAUAAAACACUGAAGUAGCGAGUACAAUGCCUGUUCUGCCACCAUUUUGAGCGAUUUGAAUUGUGCUUUACAGUUUUUUGUAGCGCUUUAUUUGUAUUGAUGGAUUAAUACGUUCUGUUGUGCAGGUCAGGGGCCGGUUGCAUAAACAUAGUCAUUAUCUUAAGACUGUGUCUAAGAAAUAGUCUGACUAACUAAAGUCACUGAAGAAAGACCAUUGCAUAAAAUAAGCUCAAACCUAUCUUUAUUAAGACAGUCUAAAUCGCAGUGAUUUGUGGAAAAAAUAAGACGCUAAACAACUUAAACAAAAUGGCCGACAGUUCGCGCUCGUCACAGUUUUCCUUUGCGGAAAAUAUUUGUAUAUUAGAGGAAUACAAUGCUGCUAAAUCGACUCUAAUGAACAAAUUUAACGAUUACAACGGCAAUAGCAAAAAACACAAAGCUUGGACAACAAUUAUGGAAAGAGUUAACAGUGUCAACCCAUCUGUCAACCGAUCCGUCAAAGAAUUUCAAAAACGGUUUAAAAAUAUGGUUCAAGAGGCAAAAAAGGAAAUUUUUAAGCGAAAAAACCCAGCAACGGGGGGAGGACCAUGUCCUAAAUUGAAAAGGACAACGGAAAUGAUCAUCGAAAUAUACGGAGAUGAAUCUCCGAUGUUUUGGGGAAUCCCCGGGGGGAGGGAGAGCGGAGUAUCCGGGCGGACGUUACCCACAGCGGUGAAAGAUACACAGUCUCAUACCGCUGUCACAUCAACCCCGCUUAGACAGUCUCGUGAGUAAUAAUGUGUCAAUGGUUAUUGCUCUGUUUUAGAUUGAGUAACACUUAUUAUCUUAUAGUUGACUGCGAGGUGACACUGACAUUGGUCGAUGACGAAGCUCCUGUUACAAGCCAGGAUGACCAAACAACACAAAGUGAAGAUGACGAUUUGGACAGCACCCAAAUGGCACCUGUGGGAAGUGGCUCAGACACCGAGAGACAGAAAGAUGCUCCAAGCAAGAUAACCAUGAACAAUAUACUUGAAAAACAAUAUCAAAUAUUAACACUGGAAGAGACUAAACUAAAAUUAGAAAUACAAAAACUAGAAUUAGAGAAAACUAAGCUAAAGUUGGAGCUACAAAAACUUGGACAUGAACUAUAGAUCUCAUCGAACAUUGUCCAAUAACUAAUCAAACAAUUGUCUAUUUAAUAAGUACUGGUAUUUAAUUUUGAAUUUACAUAUGUAAUGUUUACAUACAGAAUCUUUAGAGAUAUUUAAGAGAUUUGAAGAAUUUUAGUGUAAGUUAAUGUGUAGUGAUUUGAAGAUUAUAUCAUAUUUCAGCUGAUUGUACUGAUACUAUGCAUCAAAUAUUUUGUAAGUAUUGUCUCAAUUAAUAAAUUAUAAUAUGUCCACUUAA